rnacentral:rRNA from 1 species
GGGUUGUGAGGUUAAGCGACUAAGCGUACACGGUGGAUGCCCUGGCAGUCAGAGGCGAUGAAGGGCGUGCUAAUCUGCGAUAAGCGCCGGUAAGGUGAUAUGAACCGUUAUAACCGGCGAUACCCGAAUGGGGAAACCCAGUGUGAUUCGUCACACUAUCAUUACGUGAAUACAUAGCGUAAUGAAGCGAACCGGGGGAACUGAAACAUCUAAGUACCCCGAGGAAAAGAAAUCAACCGAGAUUCCCCCAGUAGCGGCGAGCGAACGGGGAGGAGCCCAGAGCCUGAAUCAGCAUGUGUGUUAGUGGAAGCGUCUGGAAAGGCGCGCGAUACAGGGUGACAGCCCCGUACACAAA